UACGUAGGGGGCAAGCGUUGUCCGGAUUUACUGGGCGUAAAGAGCGCGUAGGCGGAACGAUAAGCGGGGCCGGAAAGCCCCCGGCUCAACCGGGGAAGGGGCCGCGAACUGUCGUUCUUGAGGGGGAGAGAGGAGAGCGGAAUUCCUGGUGUAGCGGUGAAAUGCGUAGAGAUCAGGAGGAACACCCAUGGCGAAGGCAGCUCUCUGGCUUCACCCUGACGCUGAGGCGCGAAAGCGUGGGGAGCGAACG
rnacentral:rRNA from 1 species